rnacentral:rRNA from 1 species
GUAGGGAAUAUUGCACAAUGGGCGAAAGCCUGAUGCAGCAACGCCGCGUGCACGAUGAAGGCCUUCGGGUCGUAAAGUGCUUUUUGAGGAGACGAGGAAGGACGGUAUCCUCAGAAUAAGGAUCGGCUAACUACGUGCCAGCAGCCGCGGUAAAACGUAGGAUCCGAGCGUUAUCCGAAUUCACUGGGCGUAAAGCGCGUGCAGGCGGUUCGGUAAGUUGGAUGUAAAAACUCCUGGCUCAACUGGGAGGGGACGUUCAAUACUGUCGGACUAGAGGACGGCAGAGGAAGGUGGAAUUCCCGGUGUAGUGGUGAAAUGCGUAGAUAUCGGGAGGAACACCAGUGGCGAAGGCGGCCUUCUGGGCCGUACCUGACGCUCAGACGCGAAAGCUAGGGGAGCAAACGGGAUUAGAAACCCCAGUAGUCC